rfam:Macrostomum lignano unitig_19906, whole genome shotgun sequence.
CCCGCUGAAUUUAAGCAUAUUAUUAAGCGGAGGAAAAGAAACUAACAAGGAUUCCCCUCUAGUAACGCGAGUGAACGGGGAAGAGCCCAACACCGAAUCCCUUGGCGCAAGUCAAGCGGAAAUGUGGUGUUAAAGGUAGCCCUUCGUGUCAGUCUAGGCGUCCUCAAGUCCACCUGAUUGUGGCUCAAGCCAGAAGAGGGUGUAAGGCCCGUAGAGACGCCUCCGACUGAUUCCUGGGGUUUACCCUACGAGUCGGCUUGUUUGGGAAUGCAAGGCCAAAGCGGGGUGUAAACUCCAUCCAAGGCUAAAUACUGGCACGAGUCCGAUAGCGGACAAGUACCGCCGUGAGGGAAAGUUGAAAAGAACUUUGAAGAGAGAGUUCAAUAGUACGUGAAACCUGCUUAGAGGCAAACGGAUGGUGGCUCAUACUGGCCUGAGGAAUUCAACUGUGACGGGGCUGGACGAGCUGGCGUUCCGAUCUCUUCUUUUGGGACGGGCGUCGGUUUGGCUAUCAGGACUCUGACAUGGUGCACUUUCCUUGGUGCCUCCGCCGACGACCGACGACACUGGCUACCCCGCGGCUCGGGGUAAGGUGACAAACCUGCUUCGGCAUUUGUGUUAUAGACCCCGGGGCGUCGGACAUGGUUUGGCCAGGACGUCGAAGCUUGCGGCGCCCGCUCGCUUGUGGCUCGCAUGUUGGCUACUUGGCUGCGCCGAUGCUUGCACUGGAGACAACCAGUACAGGUGACGGUUGUGGUCUUGUCUCUAGUUGGCCUCUGCGAGUUUGGCGCCUAUAGUCUGUGGUGUACUUGUGGGUAGACUCUAUCCGACCCGUCUUGAAACACGGACCAUUGAAGGAGUCUAACAUGUGGCGCGAGUCAUGGGGAUUCUACGAAAACCCAAAGGCGCAGUGAAAGUAAAGGCCUGCUUCUCGUAGGCUGAGGUGGGAUCUCGUGGCAUCGCAUCGCGAUUGGCGAGCGCACGCACCGGCACCGUCCUAUCUGUCUCUGUCAGUGGGGCGGCGCAAGAGCGUACACGUUUGGGACCCGAAAGAUGGUGAACUUAUGCUUGCGCAGCUCGAAGUCAGUGGAAACACCUGAUGGAGGAGCGCAGCGUUUCUGACGUGCAAAAAUCGAUCGUCCAAAACGUGAGUAUAGGGCGAAAGACUAAUAAGGGGGCGAGACGUCAUAAGUAGCAACCAUCCUUGAGCUGGAUUCCCUUCCGAAGUUUCCCUCAGGAUAGCUGGCACUGCGGGGAAAACAGUUUUAUCCGUAAAGCGAAUGAUUAGUAGGCAUUGGGGGUCGAAAACGACCUCGACCUAUUCUCAAAACUUUAAAUGGGUAAGGAUGCUCGUCUCGCUUAAUUGGAGGCGGGCUUCACGCUCUCUAACGUGAAUGUGAGUGCCCAGUGGGGCCAUUUUGUUGUAAGGCAAGAACUGGCGCUGUGGAUGAACCAAACGCGGCGUUGAAGGCGCCCAAUGCGGACGCUCAUGAGACACCACAAAAGGUGUUGGUCGAUACUGACAGCAGGGACGGUGGCCAUGGAAGUCGAACGGCCGCUAAGGAGUGUGUAACAACUCACCUGCGCGAAUCAACCAGCCCUGAAAAUGAUGGCGCUGGGAAGCGUCCGGCCUAUAGGAUCGGGUUGACCUGGUGUGACUCGAUGUGGGGAUAGGAUAGCAGACAAACUAAUCUUGUAGGUAUGUCCACUAACGAGUAGCGAGGGUAGCCGUGGUGUAGCGCAGAGUGAUGUCAGCCGCACGUAAUUGUGAGGCCAGUGACUGGAGCCGUCCAACGGGUAAAUAUUCCGCGGCGGCAGAUCUUGCGGUGGUCAGUACAAUACUCAGCAAGAUAGAAAGCGUUGAGGACUGUAAAGUGUUUGAGAGAGGGUUCAUGUGAAACAGCAUAGUU